CCUACGGGCGGCAGCAGUGAGGAAUAUUGGUCAAUGGGCGCGAGCCUGAACCAGCCAAGUAGCAUGAAGGAUGACUGCCCUACGGGUUGUAAACUUCUUUUAUAAAGGAAUAAAGUGAGGCACGUGUGCCUUUUUGUAUGUACUUUAUGAAUAAGGAUAGGCUAACUCCGUGCCAGCAGCCGCCGUAAUACGGAGGAUCCGAGCUUUAUCCGGAUGUAUUGGGUUUAAAGGGAGCGUAGAUGGGUUGUUAAGUCAGUUGUGAAAGUUUGCGGCUCAACCGGAAAAUUGCAAUUGAGACUGGCAGUCUUGAGUACAGUUGAGGGAGGCGGAAUUCGUGGUGGAGCGGUGAAAUGCUUAGAUAUCACGAAGAACUCCGAUUGCGAAGGCAGCUUACUAAACUGCCACUGACAUUGAUGCUCGAAAGUGUGGGUAUCAAACAGGAUUAGAUACCCUUGUAGUC
rnacentral:rRNA from 1 species